rnacentral:rRNA from 1 species
AUAUUUCACAAUGGGCGCAAGCCUGAUGCAGCCAUGCCGCGUGUAUGAAGAAGGCCUUCGUGUUGUAAAGUACUUUCAGCGGGGAGGAAGGGAGUGAGGUUAAUAACCUUAUUCACUGACGUUACCCGCAGAAGAAGCACCGGCUAACUUCGUGCCAGCAGCCGCGGUACUACGGAGGCUGCAAGCGUUAAUCGGAAUUACUGGGCGUAAAGCGCACGCAGGCGGUCUGUCAAGUCGGAUGUGAAAUCCCCGGGCUCAACCUGGGAACUGCAUUCGAAACUGGCAGGCUAGAGUCUUGUAGAGGGGGGUAGAAUUCCAGGUGUAGCGGUGAAAUGCGUAGAGAUCUGGAGGAAUACCGGUGGCGAAGGCGGCCCCCUGGACAAAGACUGACGCUCAGGUGCGAAAGCGUGGGGAGCAAAC